ACUCCUACGGGAGGCAGCAGUGGGGAAUAUUGGACAAUGGGCGAAAGCCUGAUCCAGCAAUGCCGCGUGUGUGAAGAAGGUCUUCGGAUUGUAAGGCUCUUUUGGCGGGGACGAUAAUGACGGUACCUGAAGAAUAAGCACCGGCUAACUUCGUGCCAGCAGCCGCGGUAA
rnacentral:rRNA from 1 species